rnacentral:rRNA from 1 species
AACGUAGGACGCAAGCGUUAUCCGGAGUUACUGGGCGUAAAGCGCGGGCAGGCGGCUCGAAACGUCUGAUGUGAAAUCUCCUCGCUCAACGGGGAGAGGCCAUUGGAAACGGUCGGGCUGGAGGCAGUAGAGGCAGGCGGAAUUCCGGGUGGAGUGGUGAAAUGCGUAGAGAUCCGGAAGGAACACCAGAGGCGAAGGCGGCCUGCUGGGCUGCACCUGACGCUGAACUGCGAAAGCCAGGGAGCGAACGGG